GAUUUCUGGCUUGACGCGCUUGGCCCGCCUCGGUUACGAGUGUGAGUGCUGAUGCGCGUCUGCCAUCCUUCCAGAAAACGGUGUCUCCCUUCAUUGGGUUGGCAUCGCGAUCUGGAUCUAUUACUUUGAAAAAAUUAGAGUGUUUAAAGCAGGCGUUUGCUGUGAAUACAUUAGCAUGGAAUAAUAAUUUAGGACUUUGGUCUUAUUUUGUUGGUUUCUAAGGCUGAAGUAAUGAUUGAUAGGGAUAGUUGGGGGUGCUAGUAUUCCGUGGCCAGAGGUGAAAUUCUUGGAUUCACGGAAGACUAACUUAUGCGAAAGCAUU
rnacentral:rRNA from 3 species